rnacentral:rRNA from 1 species
UUNUGAACUGGGUGACUAGAGUGUNUCAGAGGGAGGUAGAAUUCCACGUGUAGCAGUGAAAUGCGUAGAGAUGUGGAGGAAUACCGAUGGCGAAGGCAGCCUCCUGGGAUAACACUGACGUUCAUGCCCGAAAGCGUGGGUAGCAAACAGGAUUAGAUACCCUGGUAGUCCACGCCCUAAACGAUGUCGAUUAGCUGUUGGGCAGCAUGACUGCUUAGUAGCGAAGCUAACGCGUGAAAUCGACCGCCUGGGGAGUACGGUCGCAAGAUUAAAACUCAAAGGAAUUGACGGGGACCCGCACAAGCGGUGGAUGAUGUGGAUUAAUUCGAUGCAACGCGAAGAACCUUACCUGGUCUUGACAUGGACGGAACCCUCCAGAGACGGAGGGGUGCCUUCGGGAGCCGUAACACAGGUGCUGCAUGGCUGUCGUCAGCUCGUGUCGUGAGAUGUUGGGUUAAGUCCCGCAACGAGCGCAACCCUUGUCAUUAGUUGCCAUCAUUAAGUUGGGCACUCUAAUGAGACUGCCGGUGACAAGCCGGAGGAAGGUGGGGAUGACGUCAAGUCCUCAUGGCCCUUAUGACCAGGGCUUCACACGUCAUACAAUGGUCGGUACAGAGGGUAGCCAAGCCGCGAGGUGGAGCCAAUCACACAAAACCGAUCGUAGUCCGGAUUGCACUCUGCAACUCGAGUGCAUGAAGUCGGAAUCGCUAGUAAUCGCAGGUCAGCAUACUGCGGUGAAUACGUUCCCGGGUCUUG